UACGAAGGGAGCUAGCGUUGUUCGGAAUCACUGGGCGUAAAGCGCACGUAGGCGGAUGUGUCAGUCAGGGGUGAAAUCCCGGAGCUCAACUUCGGAACUGCCUUUGAUACAGCACGUCUUGAGUCCGGAAGAGGUGGGUGGAAUUCCUAGUGUAGAGGUGAAAUUCGUAGAUAUUAGGAAGAACACCGGUGGCGAAGGCGGCCCACUGGUCCGGUACUGACGCUGAGGUGCGAAAGCUAGGGGAGCAAACGGG
rnacentral:rRNA from 1 species